rnacentral:lncRNA from 1 species
AUAGGGAGUGUAUGAAGUGAGCAACACUAGAGGAGAUCAGGAUGGCCUCUCGCCAGGCCAGGAAGGACUUGAUGAAUCACCUGAGGAAUGGGCAGGUUGUGGAUUACGAGAGCAUAGAGCUAUUGUUCGACAAGGCAAAUAGGAACCUGGCUGUGAGACUGGUGGAGUGCCAGUGCGCCGCAGCAGGAAUCUCUCCCUCCUUCUCCAUUUAUCAAUUAGUAAUUGUCCCAGUAAAUACACAAAUCCCCUACAGCAGUAAGACUUUCCUCUCAUGUUUCCAGUUUGAUUAAUAAUUCCACUGGCUCUCUUACAUACGAAAUCAUUCUAUGAUUAGUGUCCUGUAUCCCUACAGGACCCCAGUAGUUAAGAGUUAUCAGCAGGCUCUCUGUAAGAGAGUGGCCCAGGCUGGACUAUACAGAAAACACGCUCUGGAUGCUCCUCUCCUGGCUGGGUUUAAACAGUACCUUGUCCAGUGUCACAGAUACAGACAGCUGCAGAGUCCUGGGCCGAGCGCCAGUAACUGCUGGAAGGUGCUGAGGGCUGCAAAGAGAGAUGUGGAGUGGAUACUGGAGAAGACGCACACCUCUGAAGACAUCACCAUGCCUGAGCAGCUUCUUGUGCUGUAUUACCUGCAGGCCAUUCUCCAGCUGAAGCACCUGCAGCACCCAGAGGUGAUAAUGAAUAUGACAACAAAGGAGAUAUUCAUUGUCAGAAGAUGGAUGAUGGCCCAGCAUUCCCAGAACAGACACUGGAGUUUCCAGCAGCAUUAAACGGGCAACCGCUUGGGAAGAGACAUCAACUGAGACUGACUGGACUUCAUGAACGACACCAAGAACAGAGCCUACAAGAUGAUUCUAGAUAACAAUUCCUUAAUCCUUUUAGUGAAGGUUUCUGAAAAGGCUAAGGACUACAGCAAUUAAUUUUGGACUGCAGAGAUAUUUUAACCUUGUUAAGAAGUAAGACAUUUGAUAAAAAAAAAACAUUUAAAUGGCUUAUCUUUACAAGAAUAUUUUAAAACUUUAAUUACAGUUCAAUAGAUGCUGUAGACCUAAUCUACAAUGACUGCAUUUUAUUUUCAUUUUAGCCAUAAACUGUUGUAAAUAGUUUAAUUGAAAAAAAUAUUAAUUCAGAACACACAGUUGAUUUUGAAAUUAUCAGCUAUAGUGGCUCAUAUCUAUGAGUCUGUCACAUUCCAUAAGGAUUUACUGCAUUGGAGCAGAUAAGCAGCCUCAGCCUUCUGAUCAUGUAAAAGCAAUAGAAAGGUGCAACAAAUGGAGUUCUGGAAGUUGUUCUUACAUUGUGUCUUCAACAAAAUCAUAUUAAUGUGCUUCUGCUGUUUUGUAGAGUCCGCCUGCCACUCAUCUCCAGCCAUGUUGCCAGUAGGACACAUGAGAAGCCACAAAGCAGCUGACGGAGGUCCAGAAACACAUACAGGCACAACAGAAGCCUAUUGUAAUGUUUCAACAGCCUCUUGGGAAGAGAGAUGGACUGAGACUGAUUGCACUUUAUGAA